rnacentral:rRNA from 1 species
AUUGAACGCUGGCGGCAGGCCUAGCACAUGCAAGUCGAACGGUAACAGGAAGAGGCUUGCUUCUUUGCUGACGAGUGGCGGACGGGUGAGUAAUGUCUGGGAAACUGCCUGAUGGAGGGGGAUAACUACUGGAAACGGUAGCUAAUACCGCAUAACGUCGCAAGACCAAAGAGGGGGACCUUCGGGCCUCUUGCCAUCGGAUGUGCCCAGAUGGGAUUAGCUAGUAGGUGGGGUAACGGCUCACCUAGGCGACGAUCCCUAGCUGGUCUGAGAGGAUGACCAGCCACACUGGAACUGAGACACGGUCCAGACUCCUACGGGAGGCAGCAGUGGGGAAUAUUGCACAAUGGGCGCAAGCCUGAUGCAGCCAUGCCGCGUGUAUGAAGAAGGCCUUCGGGUUGUAAAGUACUUUCAGCGGGGAGGAAGGGAGUAAAGUUAAUACCUUUGCUCAUUGACGUUACCCGCAGAAGAAGCACCGGCUAACUCCGU